CCCUUAGAUGUUCGGGGCCGCACGCGCGCUACACUGAUGGGGACAGCGUGUUUGCCAUUCCUGGUCCGGCAGGAUUGGGCAAUCCGUUGAAUCCCCGUCGUGAUUGGGAUCGGAGCUUGUAACUAUUCUCCGUAAACGAGGAAUUCCCAGUAAGCGCAAGUCAUCAGCUUGCGUUGAUUACGUCCCUGCCCUUUGUACACACCGCCCGUCGCACCUACCGAUUGGAUGGUCCGGUGAAGCCUCGGGAUUGUGGCGGUUGCCUUUAUUGGUGGCCGCCGCGAGAACUUGUCUAAACCUUAUCAUCUAGAGGAAGGUGAAGUCGUAACA
rnacentral:rRNA from 1 species